CAGCAGCCGCGGGAAUACGUAGGGUGCGAGCGUUAAUCGGAAUUACUGGGCGUAAAGCGUGCGCAGGCGGUUCGUUAAGACAGAUGUGAAAUCCCCGGGCUUAACCUGGGAACUGCAUUUGUGACUGGCGAGCUAGAGUAUGGCAGAGGGGGGUAGAAUUCCACGUGUAGCAGUGAAAUGCGUAGAGAUGUGGAGGAAUACCGAUGGCGAAGGCAGCCCCCUGGGCCAAUACUGACGCUCAUGCACGCAAGCGUGGGGAGCAAACAGGAUUAGAUACCCCUGUAGUCCCUGUCUCUUAUAC
rnacentral:rRNA from 1 species